rnacentral:lncRNA from 1 species
UAUAAGUAUUAUAAACCAAUAGGAAGAAUUGAUAGAGAGUACAUGAUCUUUUUUGGUUUGUAAUAGUAAAGAAUCCAACUGUACGGUGUCGUAUUACAUGAAGUCUUGCUUGAGAAUGCACCAAGCACCUGGCUGUGGAAGAUAAAAGAAAAUUGCAACAAAAGGUCUUAAUAAUCCAAUAGGAUUAUAGAGAAUUUAUAAUUAAACAUUAACAAUCAUAAUUAAAUAUUAAGCAAGCUCAAUUAAAUUUUAUUGAAGUUAUAAAAGAAACACAAGAAAAUCCUAAAAAAAUAUAAAAGAAUAUUAAAAAAAACUUAGUCAAACCCUAACAAAAAUCUAAUAAAACCUUAAAUUUUAACCAACUCCUAAUCUUAAUCCAACCUUAAUCAAAUCCUAGAUAAAUCCUAAAUCCUAAACCAAAUCUUAAUCAAAUCUUAAUCAAAUCCUAAACCUUAAUCCAAUCCCUAACCAAAUCGUAAACUAAAUCCUAAACCCUAAUCCAAAUCCUAAUCCAAAUCCUAAUCCAAACCUUAAAUCCUAAAUCAAAUCCUAAACUAAAUCCUAAAUCCUAAAUCCUAAACCAUACCUUAACUCUAACAAAAUCUAAAUCCUAAAUCAAAUCCUAAUCAAACCCUAAUCCUAAAUCCUAAUCAAACCCUAACUGACACCAAAUCAUUAUCACAGAUUUGAAAAUUAAAUAACUAAAGAUUGAACCGUUGAUUCUAAUUCAAAAUUUGCACACUUCUUGGAGUUUAAGUUAAAAAAUAGCACAAAAAUUUUGAAGAAAAUCGCACAUACCAAUUAGUCGAUGACCUUAGAAUUCCACUUAGAUGUCGGUUGGUCUUUCCUUCUCUAAUCUUGUUGCCAACUUCGAGCACUGAUAUCUCCCUUUUCCACCAUUCGAUUACUUCCAAAUUUUACUUGCACAAAAGAAAUCAAGUCUUCUAUUGAUAAAACUAAAAAUCUCUCCAAUCCAAUUGGCAGAUUGCUAGAUAUCUAAGAAAACCUUACUAGUCCUCAAAUUCCUAAAUUCCGAGACCUUAGCCCACAAAAACCUUUAUAUGUAUCGAUCUAGCCAUUCGAUUGACCUCAAAUCUCUUAUACACAUUCAUAACAAGCAUACCAGUAAGUCUCUAAAUUUUCACCCAUAAAAAUGCUACAAAAGACACGAAAUCCAAAAAUUUGUAUACCGGUUUUAUUUCUCAAAGAUCAGAAUU